AUUGAACGCUGGCGGCAUGCCUUACACAUGCAAGUCGAACGGCAGCACGGGUGCUUGCACCUGGUGGCGAGUGGCGAACGGGUGAGUAUUACAUCGGAACAUGUCCUGUAGUGGGGGAUAGCCCGGCGAAAGCCGGAUUAAUACCGCCUACGAUCUACGGAUGAAAGCGGGGGACCUUCGGGCCUCGCGCUAAAGGGUUGGCCGAUGGCUGAUUAGCUAGUUGGUGGGGUAAAGGCCUACCAAGGCGACGAUCAGUAGCUGGUCUGAGAGGACGACCAGCCACACUGGGACUGAGACACGGCCCAGACUCCUACGGGAGGCAGCAGUGGGGAAUUUUGGACAAUGGGCGAAAGCCUGAUCCAGCAAUGCCGCGUGUGUGAAGAAGGCCUUCGGGUUGUAAAGCACUUUUGUCCGGAAAGAAAUCCUUGGCCCUAAUACGGUCGGGGGAUGACGGUACCGGAAGAAUAAGCACCGGCUAACUACGUG
rnacentral:rRNA from 1 species